UAUAUAAGUUUUGCUGGUUCUGGCAACAAAAUAUGUAGGUAAGGCCAAUUUUCCUGUAUAUCCCUUGGCACUAAUUUCAGACAGAACAAAUGGACACUUAAGCCUCCAAUUCUAGACCCAGGCAAAGUUUGUGUCCUGUUCUUUCCGUCUACCAAGGUGGCGAGAGUGAGUUUCACUCCUGGCCUGAGAGUUUGGUUGUAUCCUACACCAACAAGGCUAGAAUUAUCCACCUUUGCAGAGAUGGAGGCGUUUGAGUCCAACUGGUAUUUGGCUCCAAUUCCAAAGCGAGUGCUGUUGUUACCAGAUGUCCAGGCAAGGCUGACUGAGGUUUCCAUUUUGUCGCUAACCUUCUGGUAGAUAGAUCCUGCAAAUUCUGAACCGUCAUUGACGCUGGUGUGGAGCUGGAAAUCUCCUGUCUUGUAACCAACAGCAAAGUUAUUCUUGGUCAGCUUUGAUUUGGCACUAUCAAAUGUCAUUUGGUAGCCAGCAAGCCAACCCUCAUAACCCACAACUGCAGAUCCAUGGAUAGCAGGGCCAGCAAAAUCAAAGACCACAUCACAGCCUAAGUUUACAUAUUCACGCUUGUAAGCAGCCUUAACUUUACCACUCUUUUUCCCAGUGUUUGGGAAAAAAGUUGUGUCAAAUGUCAACUUCAAGCCCUUUGCAAUCUGUUCUUCAAUGGUGAUUUCUGUUCCCAAAGUGUUGUCAGUGUUCCACUUUUCUGUGAAAGUCAGGCCAUAUUCUCCCCAUUUAUAUUUGGUCUCUCGGCUGCCAUUUACUUUGCCGGUAUCUGUGUUAGAUGAUCCAGAUGUUGUAAAUUCCACUCCACUUGCAGACUUGGUCUUUACAUCGAGUUUCACUAGGCCAAAACCAAAUCCUUUGCCAAAAAUAUCUCUGGCAGAUUUGCCAAGAUCAGUAUAUGAUGGAGGUACAGCCAUUGUUUCUUUGCUGGGCGAUGCGCGGCCUGCUGUGU